CACGUAGGGUGCGAGCGUUGUCCGGAAUUAUUGGGCGUAAAGAGCUCGUAGGCGGCUUGUUGCGUCGGCUGUGAAAACCCAUGGCUCAACCGUGGGCUUGCAGCCGAUACGGGCAGACUUGAGUUCGGUAGGGGAGACUGGAAUUCCUGGUGUAGCGGUGAAAUGCGCAGAUAUCAGGAGGAACACCGAUGGCGAAGGCAGGUCUCUGGGCCGAUACUGACGCUGAGGAGCGAAAGCGUGGGGAGCGAACAGG
rnacentral:rRNA from 1 species